AUUGAACGCUGGCGGCAGGCCUAACACAUGCAAGUCGAGCGGAUGAAGGGAGCUUGCUCCUGGAUUCAGCGGCGGACGGGUGAGUAAUGCCUAGGAAUCUGCCUGGUAGUGGGGGAUAACGUCCGGAAACGGGCGCUAAUACCGCAUACGUCCUGAGGGAGAAGGUGGGGGAUCUUCGGACCUCACGCUAUCAGAUGAGCCUAGGUCGGAUUAGCUAGUUGGUGGGGUAAAGGCCUACCAAGGCGACGAUCCGUAACUGGUCUGAGAGGAUGAUCAGUCAAACCUGAACCUGGAACCGGGUCCGGCUCCCUCGGGAGGCCAGCGUGGGGAAUAUUGGAACAUGGGCGAAAGCCUGAUCCAGCCAUGCCGCGUGUGUGAAGAAGGUCUUCGGAUUGUAAAGCACUUUAAGUUGGGAGGAAGGGCAGUAAGUUAAUACCUUGCUGUUUUGACGUUACCAACAGAAUAAGCACCGGCUAACUUCGUG
rnacentral:rRNA from 1 species